rnacentral:rRNA from 1 species
GACGAACGCUGGCGGCGUGCCUAAUACAUGCAAGUCGAGCGAUGAAGAUUGGUGCUUGCGCCAAUUUGAAGAGCAGCGAACGGGUGAGUAACGCGUGGAGAAUCUGCCUUUGAGCGGGGGACAACAUGGGGAAACGAAUGCUAAUACCGCAUAACAACUUUAAACAUAAGGUUGAAGGUUGAAAGAUGCAAUUGCAUCACUCAAAGAUGAUCCCGCGUUGUAUUGGCUAGUUGGUGAGGUAAAGGCUCACCAAGGCGAUGAUACAUAGCCGACCUGAGAGGGUGGUCGGCCACACUGGGACUGAGACCCGGCACAAACUCCUACGGGAGGCAGCAGUAGGGAAUCGUCGGCCAUGGGCGGAAGUCUGACCGAGCAACGCCGCGUGAGUGAAGAAGGGUGUCGGGUCGUAAAACUCUGUUGGUAGAGAAGAACGUUGGUGAGAGUGGAAAGCUCAUCAAGUGACGGUAACUACCCAGAAAGGGACGGCUAACUACGUG